UUCCGGAGCUAACGCGUUAAGUCGACCGCCUGGGGAGUACGGCCGCAAGGUUAAAACUCAAAUGAAUUGACGGGGGCCCGCACAAGCGGUGGAGCAUGUGGUUUAAUUCGAUGCAACGCGAAGAACCUUACCUACUCUUGACAUCCAGAGAACUUAGCAGAGAUGCUUUGGUGCCUUCGGGAACUCUGAGACAGGUGCUGCAUGGCUGUCGUCAGCUCGUGUUGUGAAAUGUUGGGUUAAGUCCCGCAACGAGCGCAACCCUUAUCCUUUGUUGCCAGCGGUUCGGCCGGGAACUCAAAGGAGACUGCCAGUGAUAAACUGGAGGAAGGUGGGGAUGACGUCAAGUCAUCAUGGCCCUUACGAGUAGGGCUACACACGUGCUACAAUGGCGCAUACAAAGAGAAGCGACCUCGCGAGAGCAAGCGGACCUCAUAAAGUGCGUCGUAGUCCGGAUUGGAGUCUGCAACUCGACUCCAUGAAGUCGGAAUCGCUAGUAAUCGUAGAUCAGAAUGCUACGGUGAAUACGUUCCCGGGCCUUGUACACACCGCCCGUCACACCAUGGGAGUGGGUUGCAAAAGAAGUAGGUAGCUUAACCUUCGGGAGGGCGCUUACCACUUUGUGAUUCAUGACUGGGGUGAAGUC
rnacentral:rRNA from 1 species